CCUACGGGAGGCAGCAGUAGGGAAUAUUGCUCAAUGGGGGAAACCCUGAAGCAGCAACGCCGCGUGGAGGAUGAAGGUUUUCGGAUUGUAAACUCCUUUUGUGCGGGAGCAAUAAUGGUCACGUGUGGCCAGACGAGAGUACCGUACGAAUAAGCAUCGGCUAACUCCGUGCCAGCAGCCGCGGUAAUACGGGGGAUGCAAGCGUUAUCCGGAUUUAUUGGGUUUAAAGGGUGCGUAGGCUGUGAGGUAAGUCAGCGGUGAAAUGCCCCCGCUCAACGGGGUGAAGUGCCAUUGAUACUGCCUUGCUGGAAUGCGGAUGCCGUGGGAGGAAUGUGUGGUGUAGCGGUGAAAUGCAUAGAUAUCACUCAGAACACCGAUUGCGAAGGCAUCUCACGAAUCCGCGAUUGACGCUGAUGCACGAAAGCGUGGGUAUCAAACAGGAUUAGAUACCCCAGUAGUC
rnacentral:rRNA from 1 species